rnacentral:rRNA from 1 species
GAUGAACGCUGGCGGCGUGCCUAAUACAUGCGAGUCGAGCGAACAGACGAGGAGCUUGCUCCUCUGACGUUAGCGGCGGACGGGUGAGUAACACGUGGAUAACCUACCUAUAAGACUGGGAUAACUUCGGGAAACCGGAGCUAAUACCGGAUAAUAUAUUGAACCGCAUGGUUCAAUAGUGAAAGACGGUUUUGCUGUCACUUAUAGAUGGAUCCGCGCCGCAUUAGCUAGUUGGUAAGGUAACGGCUUACCAAGGCAACGAUGCGUAGCCGACCUGAGAGGGUGAUCGGCCACACUGGAACUGAGACACGGUCCAGACUCCUACGGGAGGCAGCAGUAGGGAAUCUUCCGCAAUGGGCGAAAGCUUGACGGAGCAACGCCGCGUGAGUGAUGAAGGUCUUCGGAUCGUAAAACUCUGUUAUUAGGGAAGAACAAAUGUGUAAGUAACUAUGCACGUCUUGACGGUACCUAAUCAGAAAGCCACGGCUAAUUACGUG